CCUACGGGAGGCUGCAGUGGGGAAUAUUGGGCAAUGGGCGCAAGCCUGACCCAGCAACGCCGCGUGAAGGAAGAAGGCUUUCGGGUUGUAAACUUCUUUUCUCAGGGACGAAAAAAGUGACGGUACCUGAGGAAUAAGCCUCGGCUAACUACGUGCCAGCAGCCGAGGUAAUACGUAGGUGGCAAGCGUUAUCCGGAUUUAUUGGGUGUAAAGGGCGUGUAGGCGGGAGCGCAAGCCAGAUGUGAAAACUCACGGCUCAACCCUGGGCCUGCAUUUGAAACUGUGUUGCUUGAGUGCUGGGGAGGUAGUCGGAAUGCCGGGUGUAGCGGUGAAAUGCGUAGAUAUAAGGAGGAACACCAGUGGCGAAGGCAGAUUGCUGGAGAGUAACUGACGCUGAGGCGCGAAGGCGCGGGGAGCAAACAGGAUUAGAUACCCUAGUAGUC
rnacentral:rRNA from 1 species